GACGAACGCUGGCGGCGUGCUUAACACAUGCAAGUCGAGCGAUGAAGUUCCUUCGGGAACGGAUUAGCGGCGGACGGGUGAGUAACACGUGGGUAACCUGCCUCAUAGAGGGGAAUAGCCUUUCGAAAGGAAGAUUAAUACCGCAUAAGAUUGUAGUGCCGCAUGGCAUAGCAAUUAAAGGAGUAAUCCGCUAUGAGAUGGACCCGCGUCGCAUUAGCUAGUUGGUGAGGUAACGGCUCACCAAGGCGACGAUGCGUAGCCGACCUGAGAGGGUGAUCGGCCACAUUGGGACUGAGACACGGCCCAGACUCCUACGGGAGGCAGCAGUGGGGAAUAUUGCACAAUGGGGGAAACCCUGAUGCAGCAACGCCGCGUGAGUGAUGACGGUCUUCGGAUUGUAAAGCUCUGUCUUCAGGGACGAUAAUGACGGUACCUGAGGAGGAAGCCACGGCUAACUACGUG
rnacentral:rRNA from 1 species